rnacentral:lncRNA from 1 species
GAAAAAAUUUUGAAUUUGAUUAUAAGGUCAAUUUAUUUACUUCCUUCAACUACUCAAUUUUUUGAUAUAGAAUUUGAACUUCUUUCAUAUUUGUAGGAAUAGUACCUCCAUGAUUCAUAUUGGAAAUACAUGAGAUUUUGACUCUUAGAAUAUUAACAAGGUCUUGAAGAUUUACAAUAGUUACAAAUCUAUUCUCACUUUUGCUAAGAAUAGUAUUUAUAAUCAUUUUUUAUAUAGAUAACUCAAAUAAAUUCAAAAAGUUAAAUUAAACGGAGGUAAUCCACAACC